rnacentral:ncRNA from 1 species
AGGAGCCGGAUGAGGUGAAAGUCUCAAGUCCGGUUCUGAAGACGAGCAGUAACCGUGAGGUUAUUGCUUAGUUUAAC